AGCUGUGAAGAUAAAACAAUUAAAGUGACGGCUUAGCCCGUCGCUGUCGUCCUGACCAUCUGUGACGAUAGCAAGUGCCGUCUGAGCU
rnacentral:snoRNA from 14 species